CACGUAGUAGCACCUGUCGUCUCGGAGCGGUCGUCCGGGAGAAAGUUACGGGGAAUCUUAAUAUCUUGAUUUUUAUUCUCCCUAGGGAAGGGGCGGGCGGGGGGAAGUAAAAGUACUUUUCGGGGCAAAAUCAGCGUCACCUGCCUGACGUAGGAACUGCCGCGUACCCCGGCGGAGGCUUUGCCGACAUGCUCCCGCUUUGCGCUGAACUGCGCAAAACAGCAGCGUGUGCGUGGAAGCGGUGCGCCCAGGCUGCGCGUUCAUCCCUGCGGCUGCAGUGUCCUCUUGUGGGUACGGCGAGAAGGACGCGGGCCCCACCGCCGGCGUGUGCGAGGGACACGGGAGCAGCGUGCCUGGGAAAGAGGAUCUGGGGUACCUGCCUUCGGGGCUCAUCAUGCCGUCGGUGGCAAACACCGAUGCUAAUCUACACAGAUCGAGCUUUACGGACGAAGAAGACCAGGGGGUGGCGAGCAAUAAGCCACCAAAGGUUGCCGACUGGGAUUUUGCAAAACGCUGUGCCUUGUAGGAGCCGGAAGGCAACUUUCAGAGCAAUCUGUUACUGUCAGUUCAGGCUCUUCAGCACUUACAAGAAGACUGUGAAAAAAACAGAUUCUUUCAACUGCUUUCAUCUCCGGAACUGCAUUAUUGCAAGGGGAAAAAAAAAAAACACCUGGAUUAUUGCCAGUAUGUCUGUCAGGGGGAAAAAAAGCUUUAUAAAUUGCAGUUUUGGAAGAUGUUUAACUGAUUCAGCUUUACUCAAUUGGAUUUUUUUUUUUUUUAAAUGGAAUUUAGAAGCUUAGUUGGCUUUUCAGAUCUUCUGAUGAAAAUGAUAGUUCAUGAAAAGGAAGAGGAAAAAAAUAGGUUAAAAAAAAUGAAUAUAACCUCCCCUUUAUCAAGUUUGAGUGGAUGCAGUGAUCUGUUUUAUACUCCAGAAAUCAAGCAACUCGCCCUGUAGCUGGUUUAAAUCCUAUCAAUAUUAACUUGGGAUCUGCAUAAGAAAACCCUAGUUUAAGUCCGUACUUUCCUUACUACUCUCUACAUUUUCUUGCUGCGAUGCUUAAUGCUCACGUUUUGAAAAUGAAGCUUUUGUUACAAAAUAAUCCUUUUCUAUGGCUUCUUAAAAGUGAGAUCCAAGUAUAUGUUCCCAGAGUUUUUAUUAGAUAAAAUAGAUCCACAAGAAAA